rnacentral:rRNA from 1 species
UCGCCAAAGGAUCGGCCCGCGUCUGAUUAGCUAGUUGGUGGGGUAAUGGCCCACCAAGGCUACGAUCAGUAGCUGGUCUGAGAGGAUGAUCAGCCACAUUGGGACUGAGACACGGCCCAA